rnacentral:rRNA from 1 species
AGGAUGAACGCUGGCGGCGUGCCUAACACAUGCAAGUCGAGCGAUUCUCUUCGGAGAAGAGCGGCGGACGGGUGAGUAACGCGUGGGUAACCUGCCCUGUACACACGGAUAACAUACAGAAAGGUAUGCUAAUACGAGAUAACAUACUUUUAUCGCAUGAUAGAAGUAUCAAAGCUUUUGCGGUACAGGAUGGACCCGCGUCUGAUUAGCUAGUUGGUAAGGUAACGGCUUACCAAGGCGACGAUCAGUA